GGUUCGAUGGCGCAGUCGGUAGCGCGCCCGCCUAACACGCGGAAGGUCGCCGGUUCAAGCCCGGCUCGAAUCA